GAAGUUCAAGUUCAUCAUUGUCCUCAUCACUUGAGUCAUCGCUCAAGUGGUAUUCAUUUGUUCGGAGUUCCAAAUCCUUCCUAUUCUUUGGAAGGUGGUUCAAGUGUUCAUUGUGUUCAUCAUGUGCAUUGCGCACCAUUUCAUAUGUCAUCAAUGAGCCGAUAAGUUCUUCAAGUGGAAAAAUAUUUAAAUCUUUUGUUUCUUGUAUUGUCGUUACUUUUGAUUCCCAAGCUUUAGAAAGUGAUCGUAAAAC
rnacentral:lncRNA from 1 species